CACGCAUCACACCGGAAACAGUAUGCGGUCUCUACGCUAAAUUCCAACUUAAGUAACUGACGAGCAUAGUUUUCGACUAAAGCUUGAGUCUAGAACUUGUUUCCAUAUGUUGUUCCCAUAUACUCCAUGAUAGACAACAAAACAAAGCAGAAUUAUAAACCUUUGUAGUGGAUGCAGAGCAUGUUGCUGCUGUAAGUACAUCAAAACCGAAGCCCUGUCUAUUCCAAAGUGUAGUACUGGC
rnacentral:lncRNA from 1 species